rnacentral:rRNA from 1 species
AGUGAACGCUGGCGGUAGGCCUAACACAUGCAAGUCGAACGGCAGCACAGGAGAGCUUGCUCUCUGGGUGGCGAGUGGCGGACGGGUGAGGAAUACAUCGGAAUCUACUCUGUCGUGGGGGAUAACGUAGGGAAACUUACGCUAAUACCGCAUACGACCUACGGGUGAAAGCAGGGGAUCUUCAGACCUUGCGCGAUUGAAUGAGCCGAUGUCGGAUUAGCUAGCUGGCGGGGUAAAGGCCCACCAAGGCGACGAUCCGUAGCUGGUCUGAGAGGCUGAUCAGCCACACUGGAACUGAGAAACGGUCCAGACUCCUACGGGAGGCAGCAGUGGGGAAUAUUGGACAAUGGGCGCAAGCCUGAUCCAGCCAUACCGCGUGGGUGAAGAAGGCCUUCGGGUUGUAAAGCCCUUUUGUUGGGAAAGAAAUCCAGCUGGCUAAUACCCGGUUGGGAUGACGGUACCCAAAGAAUAAGCACCGGCUAACUUCGUGCCAGCAGCCGCGGUAA